AUGACGAGCGGCGGACGGGUGAGUAAUGCUUGGGAACAUGCCUUGAGGUGGGGGACAACCAUUGGAAACGAUGGCUAAUACCGCAUAAUGUCUACGGACCAAAGGGGGCUUCGGCUCUCGCCUUUAGAUUGGCCCAAGUGGGAUUAGCUAGUUGGUGAGGUAAAGGCUCACCAAGGCGACGAUCCCUAGCUGGUUUGAGAGGAUGAUCAGCCACACUGGAACUGAGACACGGUCCAGACUCCUACGGGAGGCAGCAGUGGGGAAUAUUGCACAAUGGGCGCAAGCCUGAUGCAGCCAUGCCGCGUGUGUGAAGAAGGCCUUCGGGUUGUAAAGCACUUUCAGUCAGGAGGAAAGGUUAGUAGUUAAUACCUGCUAGCUGUGACGUUACUGACAGAAGAAGCACCGGCUAACUCCGUGCCAGCAGCCGCGGUAAUACGGAGGGUGCGAGCGUUAAUCGGAAUUACUGGGCGUAAAGCGUACGCAGGCGGUUUGUUAAGCGAGAUGUGAAAGCCCCGGGCUUAACCUGGGAACUGCAUUUCGAACUGGCAAACUAG
rnacentral:rRNA from 1 species